rnacentral:rRNA from 1 species
UACGGAGGGGGCGAGCGUUAUUCGGAAUUAUUGGGCGUAAAGCGCACGUAGGCGGCUUUCUAAGUCAGGGGUGAAAUCCUGGAGCUCAACUCCAGAACUGCCUUUGAUACUGGAGAGCUUGAGUCCGGAAGAGGUGAGUGGAACUCCGAGUGUAGAGGUGAAAUUCGUAGAUAUUCGGAAGAACACCAGUGGCGAAGGCGGCUCACUGGUCCGGUACUGACGCUGAGGUGCGAAAGCGUGGGGAGCAAACAGG